rnacentral:rRNA from 1 species
GACGAACGCUGGCGGCGUGCUUAACACAUGCAAGUCGAGCGGAGCGGCGAACGGGUGCGUAACGCGUGAGUAACUGCCCCCCUCUCUGGGAUAACAGUUGGAAACGGCUGCUAAUACCGGAUAGUGGGGGAUGACUCGCGUCCUAUCAGCUUGUUGGUGGGGUAGUGGCCUACCAAGGCGACGACGGGUAGCCGGCCUGAGAGGGCGACCGGCCACAGUGGGCUGAGAGACGGCCCAAACUCCUACGGGAGGCAGGAGUGGGGAAUAUUGCACAAUGGGGCAAACUCUGAUGCAGCAACGCCGCGUGCGGGAUGACGGCCUUCGGGGUGUAAACCGCUUACAGCCAUGACGCGGUAGUGGCAGAAGAAGCACCGGCUAACUACGUGCCAGCAGCCGCGGUAAUUC